UCCUGCCCUCCCUCAUCGUACGCCUAAUUGGGAAUGUUGGGCUGAGCAGCAAAAACCGUGUAGGGUUUUCGGCUCCCACUCCAAACCCCUACUGUUCCCUGUUCACACCUGAAGACUCAUCUUACGCAUCUGCUUCUUCUUUCAGAUGAUGCAUGCAAUCAAAGGUGGAUGGGUUGGGCAAACAUUUGCCCUUGCUGCAUAUAGUGACUCUGGAGGGAGGAAGGCAAGGAUUAGGCGUUCAAAGGAGGAGAGGAAGGCAAUGGUUGAGUCUUUUAUAAAGAAAUAUCAGAACUCAAAUAAUGGAAAUUUUCCAUCUUUGAAUCUUACACACAAGGAAGUUGGUGGUUCUUUUUACACAGUUCGGGAAAUUGUUCGAGAAAUUAUUCAAGAAAACAAAGUAUUAGGUCCAGCUAAGUUUUCAGAAGAGCAGAGCUACGAUAAUGUUUUGGAGCAUUAUCCAUUAGGAUCCAUUUCCAUUGAAGCUCAAAGAAGUUCAUUACCAUCAGAUGAACUGAAA